UCCCCUUAACGUCACGAACAGAGCGGAGUUCCCAAGCUAGUGUCCAUAGGUAGAGAUCAGCUUUAAGGCACAGUCUGGGUAACCUAGGGUUAAUCUCUUUUGAAUCAAAAACUGAUUUUGUUGAAAAUGUUGCAGCCUUUUACCACUUCACUAGCUAUAGACAGAACACUGCGUCCAGACUUUUUCUCUCCAUGAUGACCAGUUGAUAAGGGGAGUAGCCAUGAGCCUGGGGUACUUUGUCCACUUUGCAGUAGGCUUUCUGCUGGCAUCUUCAGUCCUAAUGCCAGGGGCAUCAUUUAUCAUCACAUUAGUGGUAUUUUUUUUUUAAAUACACAUUGCUGUGAAGGUGUCAGAUCCCCUGGAACAGGAGUUACAAACAGUGGUGAACUGCCAUGUAGGUACUGAGAAUUGAACCUGUGUCUUCUGGAAGAGCAGCCAGUGCUCUUAACCACCAAGCCAUCUCUCCAGCCCUCGUGGUGGUAAUGUGUGUGUGUGUGUGUGUGUUUUUAUAGUACACUUAACAACAACAACAACAAGUUAACUAUUUCUUACAACCAUGUCUUUAGAAAAGAACAAAGAAGAAUGGAGAUUAUACACAUGAACUAAGAAUAAUGAUUUGUGAGCCACCAUGUAUAGUCAAAUAAUAUUUCGUGUUUCUUUCCAAAUAACAUGACUGGCUAUCUUGCUCCUCUGUUGGCCUGGGUUCUGUGGAAACUAGACUGUUUCUGAUGUAGAUAAGAGUCAGCAGCAUAAAGGCCUUGGAUGAGUUAGAACCUUUCUGACUCACUAUUUCAUCGUCUGUGAAACCAAAGAAUAAAAACUGCCUAAUGUAGAAAAGCAAGGCAGUGAUGUAGAGGAGGGAAGUACUCUGUGAACCGCAGAGUUUUAUGAAUUCUCCAAGUUCAUAUAUUGAGAUUGUAAUAUUGAAGAUAAUCAGCACCUAAUCAUGAGAUGAUUAGGCCAUGAAACUGAAAGAGCAGACAGAUCUGCUCAGGCAGAAUGACAACGUUCAGUUACUUUUAAGAUAAUCUUUCUGUUUCUUGAUGUAAUCCCCAGAAAGGGGGCUUAAAACAUUGCAUUUCUUUCAUAAGCAGUCUCCUGUUACAAGAGGGCACUCGGGGGAUCCCCUAUCUUAUGAUGUAGGAGAAACAAUAGAAGGGUAGAAAGGCUCCAGCCCUGAGACUGUUUAUGAGCAUGCCAAAGGACUGUCUAUACUUUGGUGGUAUUGUUUUCUGAGAUCCAGCACGUUUAUGGAUAGACAGUUACUGGGCAGAGGCAUGAGAGAGCCUUCCUGGAAGAGAGAGCAGUAAUGCCCCAUCUCGAAUUGCAUGUUGGUGUACAGGUAAUGUGUACCGAAAAGCUGCAACUCCACAGCAGCAUUUGUGGUAGGGAUGCUAUGCUUUCUUCAUGUGUAUAUUGUUGGGACUCACAAAAAGGUAUCUCGAAGAGUGCGUUUUUGACAUGCUGAGUUGGAGGAGUAAUCCUAGAGAUGAUCCUUCUGAGCCCUGCCCCCCUCUAAUCCAGUGUAGGAAGGAACUUAAUCUACAUUAAAACCAGACUCACAGAAGAUCACAGCUGCCUUCCAUUGUCAUGAAGGAAGCUCAUAGUCUAUCAAAGCGCUUCCACACGGGGCGUGAACUUUGCCCCAAGAUAACAUCUCUGUUUCUGGCUCAUUCAGAUCCCUGAGAAUCAUUUUAUAAUCUCAGCUCUAUCUCCAAGCCUAUCCAUUCCCUUGACAAUCAUUUACUAUCCCUCUAAAUUGUCCCAUUUUCUCCCAGUUUUUUUUUUUUUUUUUUUUUUUUUUUUACUGUAUGGGGAAGGAUAUACAGGCAUCCAAGCCUCACUGGGUUGGUGGAGACGCACACUCCUGAGCUUUACUUGGAUGAUGAGGAGUCACGCUCACAUCUGAACCUCAUCGGCUCAGCGGCCACACAGUCCCAUGACUGCCCUCUGUGCACACAACCAAACUGCUGUCUCAUUUCUCCUGAUUGUCUAUGUGCUAUCAGUUCAUCUCAGUCAACGUUCAGAGGUCAAGGAGAGGGGGGUUCCUCUGCCUUAAUAUCAUCUGGAGAAGGAGAAAGGCUAUUAAGUUAGCUAACUAGUAACAUCUUGUGUGCCCAUUGCUUACUGUAGUCUUAAUUGAAGUUUCAACUAUUUUCCUUCAUGUGAGUUUUCUUUUUAAAGAGUUUUGUUUUGCUAAUUGCAUUGGGAAUUGAACCCAGAGCAUCACACAUUCUAGGCAAGUGUUCUACCACUGAACUAUAUCCUGAGCCCUUGUGAUUUUCAGACAGGACCUCACUACUAAGUUGCGAGGCUGGCCUUGAAGUCACUCCUAGUCCAAGCAGGUCUUGAAGUUACAACCCUCGUGCAUCAAUCUCCCAAGCGGCUGGGAUUACAAACUUGCCGCUUCAGGCCCAGCUUUUAAAAUUUUUGAUGUGAGAACGUGUGUAUGCCUGAAUAUCAAUAGCAGUGAACGUGGGGGAAUGUGGAUAACUUAUGGUGUUUUGGGUAUUAAAAAUCAGCCUUCUCUGACCUUAUUCGUUUUUCUGCAUCUGUCAUCCGUUCUCAGCACUGCUGUGGGUGUGGCCUCAAGCUAUGACUAAAUACACAGCCAGGUAUGACUGAGUCAUAGAGCAUGCCUUUAAGGAUUUGAGAUUAGGCUUUGUCUCUUUAUCUCGUCGAAUUUCUGACCUUUAGCCCAGUGCGUCUUAGAGCAGUCAGAGUGAGUCAGCAAGAGCUUACUUAAAUGCUUAGUGUAAACCAGUGGCACAUUCCCGUUGGAAGGAAACGGAUCAUUCCCGCUGCUGUGACACUUGCUUUGCCUUUAGAGAAACGUGGAGGGCCACCUAACACACACAGUAGCUAGAACAAAUGCCUUUCCUGGAUUGACAAUGUUUCCCUAAAUCGGGUACAGUGUGGCAAUAGGUACAAGUAGCAAAAAAGUAUGGCGGGACCUAGUCACCGGGCUUUGAGGCGAUCUAAUGUGAACAUGCAUGUGGAGGGCAAUGCUGACUUUCUUUCCUUUCACCGAGGUAUUCUUUAGAGUGAACUAACAGCUCCCUCCCUCUGCAGCCUCUGGUGCCUGUGUGUGCCUAUGUGUUCUGUGCUCUGACCUCAUUCGUGACAUCUUGAACGCCAUAUAGCUCCUUGGCUUUCUAAACCCACUCAAAAGCUUGCACGGCCACAGAAACACUUUCUCUUAUUAAAAUUUCCCCCCAUUAGUAGUUCUCUCAGGAUUUACGCAGACUUCGUAUUUGUCCCCAAGGAGUCUCUCUUCAUGGAUUCUCUCCCAUACAGAAGUACAUUCUCCCUAAAUGGUGAAUACUAGCUAAGUGCCAGUUGAAGUGUGUUAUGAUUAAAAAUAAAAUAUUUACUUCCAUCAGCUGUGUAAAUAUUUAACUUGCUUAAGCGUGAUUAUGAGCAUGCUCAGGCCAUUUCCUGCUUUCAGGGAACUGUCGAUAAGCUGUUCCUCUGGGCUUUCCUUUCCUAGCUAGCUCAGAUAUAGCUUCUGAGGUCCAUGACGUUAACUAAGACGUUAUAAUUGUACUUGAAACAGGAAAAACAAAGCCCACGUUUCUACAGCCAACAUGGGAUGCUCACCCCAGCCACCAAAAUUCACAGUGUUUCCCGUGGGAAGCAAUCAUUUCGAUGCAAUCCUGGUACUGUGUACCUAGUGGUUGGAUCUCACAAGUAAAGCGCUCCUAUGAGAAUGAUCUUUUGCAAUACCAAUCAGUACAGUAGGAUGUCAUCCAUCUUUCUACCAGUAAUUACAGGCCGGGGAUUCCAUCGCCAUCUCUAUGAAUUUAGUUAAUUUGCUAGCAUGGCUCAUAGAACUUGUGUUUACUGGUUUAUUGCAAAGGAUACAGAAAAGGAACCAGAUAGAAGUAUGUACGUGUGUGUGUGUGUGUGUGUGUGUGUGUGUGUGUGUGUGUUUACAGACACACAUGUGUGAAGGCUGUGCAUGCAGAGAUGCAGAGGCCGGAAGGUGAUUUCAGGUGUCUUUCUCUGUCCCUCUCCACCUUAGUUUUUGAGACAGGCUCUUUCUGGCUGAACCUAGGACUUGCUGUGCCUAACUGAACUGGCCGGUCAGUGAGCUCUGAGCGUCACCCUGCGUCUGUCCUGUUCGAAUGGCACCUCUGUGCUUGACUUUUUAUGUAAGCGCUAAGGAUCGCGCUUCAGGUCCUCAUGCCUCAGCAGCAGACCCUAUUCGCUCCUCUCUACGGCCUGUUCGGAUUUGCGUGGAGGUUUCUAUCAGCCCAGUUGAUCCAGUUAUCAGUCACUGUAAGCGCUUACCCUGCAGUGCCUCUCCUUUCCAUGGAACCGAAAGUUCCAACCGUCUAAUGACACUUAAGUCUUUCCAGUACCCACCCUUCCUCACUCUAACCACACCUGAGAGUCCUUACCCACCAUCCAUCUCACCACACAAAGGACCCCGUCACUCCGUAGAUCUCCAGAGCCUUUAGGAGCUGAAUGUCAGGAAACAAGGAGGAAGGCUGAGUACGUAUUUCGUAACAUCAUAACCACAGGUACCCAAUGUUUGUUUAUUUAUUUUUGAUACAUGAUAUGAUCAACUGAGAAGAGGUAAGUUCAGCUGAGAAAAUUCUUCCAUCAAACUGACCCAUCGGCAAGUCUGUGGGGGCAUUUUCUUGAUUAAUGAUUGCUAAUUAAUAGGUGGUCCCGGGUUAUAUGAGGAAGCAAGUUAAAAACUCAUGAUGAGGUUUCUAAGAUACUGCCAGUAAGCCGUAUCUUUCCCACAGCCUCUGUUUCAGUUCCUGCCUCCAGGUACUGCCGUGGCUUCUCUUCGUGGUGGACUCUAAACUAUUUGGUGAGUUGAUGCCCCUAUCCCCCAAGUCGCUUUGGUCUUGGUGUUUUGUCUCAGCCACACAAAGCAAGCUAAGGCGCCUGCCAGGCAGAAUGUCAUAGAGCAGCGGUUGGCGUUUACCUGGAGAAGGAGCUGCGGAGUCUUCAGAGUUAGACUGCUGGGGUAGGACCGCGGGGCUCCUCAUGAUCAGCAGUGCCAUAGCGCCACGUUCUCUCUGCCUCCGUUUCUCUGUGGGAAAAUGGGGGUGGUCAUCACGCUUACGGUAGAAAUGCUAAGGCAAAUAUUGUUAAUAAGCAUUUAAGCAUUGUUAAAUGCUAAGGCAAAUAAGGUUAAUAUACUUCGUUGAUAACACCAUAAGAAUUUCACUACCCAUUUCAUGUGUAUCUUAGGAAAAAAUAGUUUUUAUCCAUUAGUUCAAAGUUUCAUAAUAGCCUUAUUACUGAUUAAAACAUUUCCUCGGUUUAUAAUCCUCAACCAUUUGCAGCUGUAAGUGAUUUUUGAGUUACAUUCAUAUUUUACUGUAAUGAACUUUGUCAAAGUUCUGGAGUUUCUGGGAUAUCUUGAUAAUUCAGUGACGGAAAAUGUAGAACUGAGUAUCUGAAAAGCUAAGACCCCAAGUGAAAGGCACUUUGGAAGUUACAGAGAAUGACUGCUUCCUCUGAGGCUGUAAUUACAGAGUUCUUGUAACUGAGACCUUCCUGAAACACGUUUGAAUAACAUCGCAUAUUAGAAGUGGGGGUGCCGGCGGGUAGAGGACGCCGCUACAGUGAACAAAUACAUGAUGGCGAGCUGGGAAAGAUGGGAAAACGAAGCGGUACGUGUGCUGAGGCCGGGCAGAACCCGAGGCACGACAGGACAAGAUGGCAGUGAGAACCAUACUGAUCCACAGAAGCUAAACAGAAUGCCCUCUUUUCAAAUAUGAGUAAUUGUCUUCAUUCCGCAAAAGUCUGUGAGAUCUGGUCACAGCAGAACCAGCCAGCAAGUGAUUCCAGACACGGAGGCAAACUUCCUUUCUUCCACUUUCCACCAUGUAUUUCACGCACUCUGAGGGCCGGAAGGGCAAAGGCAGGGAUUAGCCUUGCCAUGGCUUUUUCCUGGUCUCUGUCUGUCCUUCCCUUGAGGACCAAUUCAGCAUCAUCUAGAGAAGGGUCAUUUGUUUGCAAGGAGAGGAAACAAACUUAAGCCGAUGGAGAGUGGCUUCUUGUCUCCAAGUAAAUUUUCCCGAAAUAAUAGCCAAGCCCCUCACAUGGGUCAUCUCCCAGAGCUGCUCCUGUCUUCUCCUGCAACUACUUCAGUACUGCUCACACACAUGCAUUCAAGUUUAUUUAAAAACGUAUGUCCAUUUGCUAUAUGAAUUUCUUUCUAAAAAUUAAAAAAAAUAAACAAAAUGAUAAAGAGAA